GACAGUUUCCUUUAGUUCAUGGUUCUUGUAGUUCUAUUUUAGCUUUGCCUUCAGAUUAAAUUUAAUGGGAUUCAGUAAAUUCAUGGAAAUAGACAGAUAAUACUUAAAUAUUUAUGUUUACUGCACAAACAAAAAACCUCAUGCCAUAUGGUCCUCAUGAUACAAACCAAUAGCAUUACAGCAAGUGUAGGUUUGUAGGUUCAAUAUGUUGUAAUAUGCAUCACUUUUCAAAACUAUGAUUUUAUCUGUUAUAAAAUGAGCAGAGCCAAUUAAGAAUUCACUGGGUGGUUGGGGGUGGCUGUUGAUUUUAAAAUACAUGUUGUCCAGUUAUACAGGGAGAUUAGGAGAAAACUAAACAAACACAUCCACUGUCAAAUUAAAUAAUGAAGAGAGAGCACCCCCUUUUCAUUUCUGUUUAACUGAAAUCUCUUUUCGGUGUUUGUUUGGUGUGAACUCCCCUUUGGGCACGUCGCUGGACGAGCAUUAGGCCGAGAGAUCGGAGGCAGGUGUUUCUCCAGUGACACGUUUCCCCAGCUUCAGCUCCUUGGGGAGGGCUCUACCUGCUGGAGCCAGACAUCCUGUUACCAUGGCUACUGAAGAACCACAGAACAAAACACAGGGAGACCCCACGAUCGAAGCAGGCGACAUUCAUUACGCUUCUCUGGGCCGUCAGAACUGGAGAGAGAGGCCGCACACUCAGGGCGAGAGACACCAUGUGAUCUACUCCACUGUGGCUGGAGGGCCAGUUUAGGCCAUGGUCAGAGGAGGACGGCACUACGUCCUCACAAAACGAUAACAACGUCCUCACAAAACGAUAACAAUGUCCUCACAAAACAAUAACAAUGUCUUCACAAAACAAUAACAACUUCCUUAUCACACCGGAAUAAACUAUUCCUGGCUAACCCCAUAGAUCCUCUAUCGACAAGCAAACAAUUAUUAAAAA